UUCAGUCUAUGUAUAACUUGAGUGCUGGUUGUAGAUGGCACAUGUAUCUCCAGGAACCGUGAAUAGUAGUCUGAAAUCACAAGUAAGUUGUGUUUAUUGUGACCGGCUGAUGAGCCAUCAUUGCCAUACAGCUGUGGGGGAACUAAUGACUGGUUUGGCCGUUGCAGCAGGGAGUUCAAAUUGAUUGACGGACGUAGCUCCAGUAUACUCCUGAACAUUUCUGGACAGGUACGCGCUGUGCAGCACGUGAAACACUGGUAAGCUUUAGAUUUUGCAUUAAUAUUGUUUCUUCUUUUAAGACCAGUCUUCUGUGGCUGCAGGGCCGAGUCCAUUGACGGUGUCUCUGCUUUUAUCGGCGGUGUCACGCGCGUGUAGGAUCGGACAGCCAAGGUAACCAAAAUGUUUGUUUAUGCUUAUUGUUAUCGUUCUGUUGCUUGAUUGUGGUUAAACAUUUCUUUGUUUCAUUGCAGUUUUGCCUCUGUUGCCUUGUCUUUUUGUUUGUUUAUUUUGUUGCUUCUUUCUUUUAGUUUGUAGUCGUUUUGCCUAGUUUUGUAUGAGUUUGCUUGAUUCGAGUUUAGUUUUGUUUUCUCCCCGUGUGUGUUUAUCCUUAUCGUGGCUGUGUUCUCUGGCUCAGUAAUCAGGUUUCUCUCCUCCAUAGCUGCGUAGGGCCUGUGUGACCUCCAUUUCUAAUAACUGCGUUUAUAUUAACAGUGUGUGUUUAUCCUCAGGUUGUCGUGCUUGGUUCUCUGGUUCAGUAAUCAGGUUUCUCCCCUCUCUGGUUCAGUAAUCAGGUUUCUCCCCUCCAUAGCUGCAUAGGGCCUGUGUGACUUCCAGUUUUAAUAACUGCGCUUAUAUUAAAAUUAGUGUGUGUUGUGUGCUGAACAUAUUUUUGUAUAAGAAUAAAAUUGUAUUUAUAUUUUUCCAUACACGCUUCUGUAUUCAUUUGUGCACGUACCUGUGUUUAGUAGGGGAAACCCUCUGUUGAGAGGCUGGAUUGUUACCAUUCUUAGGGUGAAAGUCCCUAGGUGGCGUUGUCGGUUCCAUGUUAAAAGAUACCAGAAGACCCUCACCAGUCCAAACCUGGUUACAUUAUCAUGUUCACAGAGGUCGAGAGCAAUCUGUUUCCAUGGACGUUCGGGCAGCAGUGUGGAGAUAACUGGCUCCUUUUGCUGAGCUCGCGACUCUACAGUGUUCUUAAGUUCUACAGAGAGUCCAGGCCACCAAGCUGAUACAUUGGCUCUGUCUCUGCACUUUAUUAGCCCUUUGUGUCCAUCAUGUAUCUUCUGCAAGAUGCCUGUUCUCAUUGACCUUGGAACAAAAAUCCUGGUUCCUCGUAUGUUGAAGUCAUCAGCUUCUGACAGCUCAUUUUUCACUUUCAUGUGAUUUAUGGUGGAACAUUGCUACUGUGGUAGGACGGCUCAGUCCGCCUCCACUCGUAUUGUGUGCAUCAGAUCCGGUCUGCGCAGCUGGGAGUAAUCUGCCUAAUGCACCUUGCUUGCUGGGCGGUGCCACACCCAGUUAUAUCUAGGAGAGGGCUGUGCGUCUCGUACAUGCAUCCUCUUUCCUGUUCCUGGGCCGGAGGGCUACAUUAGUAGCAUGGCUUAGCAUGGAUUUGCGUGGUGGUUUUGAGACGCUGGCUGUCGAGCUUUCGCUGUUUCCUGUCAUCAGAGUCGGGCCGUAUUCUGGCUGAAGGCUGGGAGCCGGGCGUAAUAAUUCACGCGCUGCAUUUAAUUUCUGAGUGAUUGAGCUGCAUUUUUCUGCGGCUGUCUCCCCUGUUGCCUGAAAAGCUGUGGCUACAUUGACGGGCGGCUCUACUUCCUGAAGCGGGCUACUGAUGUUCUGUCACCAGUUCAUCGCGGCAAGCUCUCUGCUCAUCGGCAGCUGUUUUGUUGUUGUAUGAUGUUUUUAAAAAAAAAAAUAAAAUAAAAUAACAACGAUCUUGGUGUGCGUAUGCCUCUUGCCCAGCACGCCUGUUAUUGAGAGUAUUAUUAUUAUUAUUAUUAGGGUUGUUGCUGUUUUUUUUAUAUUAGAAUUGUUAGUAUUAGAAUUGUUAGUAUUAGAAUUAUUAGUGUUAGUAUAGAUCUUGGGAUUCUUGAUUAGUUAGUUUUGUUUAUUUACUUAUUUGUUGUGAUUGCAUAUUUAAAUUAUUCAGUUAUCUUUUUUUUGUUUGGGUUUGUAAAUUUUGUUUUCCUUUUUUUUGGUUUUAUUGGGUUGACUGGGCGAGGGAGUAAGGGGUGCAUGUUGGCGUAAUUGGCCUUGGUGGUGACCUCGUGGGCCCAGCCUAGUGUGGUGGUGUGGCAGUUUAUUUGAGAUCUAUGUAGGUGUGCCUCUUUUUUCCGUGACUAACAGUUUGCCUCUUCUCCUUGGACAGGAGCUGUUGGGCCAGGUGGCUGGUGGCUGACUGAUUUCCCCCGGAGGUGGUGGUCCCUUCACUCCCUGUACAAUAGUGCACUUGGGUGUUCGUCAGUGAUUUUGUUUUGUUCACGUGUGGUGCAUUAAGACCCUUCCCUUCUCCCCUCCAGUUCGUCAUCGCUGCCUGGUAAGCCCUCAGCCCUGUGCCUGGUGACUGUUUCGGUGGCACACUUAAUUAAGUCAGGGGGGGCCCUUGAGGAUUAGAUUAAUACUGUGCCACUUACUACCGUUAUGUCUUGGCAUCGCCAACAAGGUCGGUUUUAGAAAGAGUGUACAUUUUUAAAUAUUGUUAAUAAAUUUCGUUUUUCUAUACUUAAAGUGGAAUCGCGUCAGUCUCCGGUGCCUUUUGUACCUGUGUGACCUUUCUUGUGGUCUGUAUUAGAGUGGUGGUCCUCCCUAAAUAGAUCUCCUGGGGGUGAUACUCCCCCAGGUGGCGUUGUCGGACACGUGAUAGAUAGCAAACAUACAUCUAACCCUCGUAGCCUUGCCACACUACUGUAUUCAGGCCAUCCUGAUCUGAUGACUUUGGUGACAGCCUGUAGCUCGUUGUCAUCUGCUGUUGCCAUUCUGAUACUCUCCAGCUUAGUUGGGGAUGCUGGGAUGCCUUGUAACACCGUGGCUAGAUGCCACGUCACCUUGUGUGUCAGUCUUUAGAUGUUUUUGAGGGCUGCGGGACAGGGCAUUUGCGACAACAAGGGUUUUGCCUGGUACAUAUUCUGCUACUGGACUGUACUUCAGGAGCCUCAUUAGUAGAUGUUGGCAUCUCACGAGGACAUUGUCUAGGCUUCGGUUGUUGUAAGUGGUACCAGUGGCUUGUGGUCAGUCCCCAGCCUGAACUGAUCUAAGCCGCACAGAUAUUUGUCGAACUUCCCAAAAGCCCAAACGCACGCCAGGUGCUUUUUUUUUUUUCUAUCUGAGCAUAGCGUGUUUCGGCUUCUGUGAGACAUCUGGAGAAGUAAGCUACCGGUUUCCACUUCUCUUCGUGGAGCUGGGGGAGUACACCCCCAAGACCAUAGCUGCUGGCAUGGACAGACACACUGAUGCAGCAACAUCAUAGAAGGCAAGAACUGGUGCUGGUGUUCACAUCUCUUUAAUGCUCUGAAAGACUGAUUGUUGUGAGUGGCUCCAGGUCCAGAUGUUCUUGCUCUUCAGAAGCAGUGGCUGACCUAUUGUGGAUAAAUUAGGGACACACCUUCCCAGGUAGUUCACCAUGCCCAGGAUUCUUUUUAGCUCCUGAACAUUUUCUAGUGGGGACAACAAGCCCACUGACUCACCUUCUCAAGCCUUCUCGAGCCUAACAUUGUGUUGGUCCAUUGUGGUCUCAUAGACGAGCAUGUCAUCCAUGAAGACUUCAACACCUUCCAGCCCCUGCAGAGUUUCUGGCAUUUUCCGCUGGAAGAUUUCAGGUGCGCUGGAAAUCCCGAAGGGUAAUCUUUUAAAACAGUAUCUGCCAAAAGGUGUUAUGAAGGUUAUUAGCUUGCAGCUGUCUGGAUGCAGUGGGAUUUGCCAAAACCCGCUCGUGGCAUCAAGAGAGGAGAACACAGCUGCUCCACUCAGCUUGGCUGUUCUUUCAUCUGAGGUAGGUAAGAUAUACCAUUCUCUUUUGACUGACUCAUUUAGCCUUUUUAAGUCCACACAGAUUCUGGCUUUGCCGGUUUUGCUUCACCAUAGGCGCACACCAUUUGGUUGGCUGUGUCACCCGCUGAAUGGCACCGCUCUUCUCCAUCCUGUGUAGUUCCUGUUUUACCUUUUGUAACAUAGGGAAGGGCACACAGCGAGCAGUGUGCACAACAUAUGAUUGAGCAUCAUCUUUCAGCUGGAUUUUGGCUGGUUCAUUUUUUAGAGUGCCAUGCUCACCAAAAGUUUGCAGAAAUCCACUUGUGGCACAUGUCAUUUCAUCGACUCGCUGUACUAAGCUAAUUUUCACUGAUAAAGGUUGCCUGAGCAGGUUGCUGACACUCUGGCCACAGACUACAUAUGCUUCUAAUGGGUAUUCCUUUCCCUUGUAGCUAACUGUAGCAUUGAUACAGCCAAGAUACCAAAGCUCACCUGCUGGGCUGAAAUGUCAGCUGAUUUCAGAGUUCUUGGUGGAGUGAGUUUCUGAAAGGAGUCCUCGCUUAACAUGUUGACAUCAGCUCCCGUGUCUAUUUUAAAUUCCAUCUGGAUGGAAUCCACCUUUAGUUGCACAGUCUACUGUUCUUUCUCCUCUGCACUGCACACUGAACCUAAAUAAAAAAUUUCCAGUCAGCUUGCUCAGUCUCUGUGAUUUCAUUCAUGGACUUGUUGCUGUUGCGGCACAUCCUGGCCCACUGUCCCAUUUUAUGGCUAUGGUGGCAUGUGCUUCUCCCUGCAGGACAUCUUUCAUCUUUGCUGUGUUGUGCUUUUCCACAUUUACUGUCAUUUCCUCCCCAUUUUCUGUCUUUAGACUUGCCUUGUUGUUGUUUCCAGUUAUUUUUAUUCUGUUUGUAUUGCACCUCGUGCAUUGUACCCAUAGUGUUUCCUAGCAGGCUCACUUGUGCUGCGACCUCCUGACGGUCUGUAUCAUCAGUGCAAGUGUCAGGUCCGGCAUCUGCUGCAGCCUGCAUGAGAGCUCCUUCUCUAGUAUCGCAAAGACGAUAUGGUUGGGGAUAUUUUCCUCUCGGCCUGUGCCGAACUCACAGUGCUUUGAUAGAUCAUACAGGGCUCGGAUGGAACACUCCACUUUCUCCCCUGGCCGCUGGAUAUGCUGGUGGAAACAUGCUCUCUCGUGUAUAAUAUUCCUCAGGGGGAAAAAGUAGUCGUCAAACUUCUUCCCCACAAUGCCAAAGUCAUUCCUGUGCCCUUUGUCAGCGAAAAUGAAUGAUUUGUAUAUAUUUUCUGUCUUGUUGCCCAUGGCGUAGAUUAGGUAGCACACCUGAACUUUCCCGUCGUCUUUGUCUAGUUUUGUGGCGAGUCUGAACCGCUCAAAGUGCUGUCUCCAGUCCGGCCAAUCUGUCGGUUUAUCAAAAGAAAAGCUCGCUGGGGAAUUAAACUUCACCUUUCAGUCGGCAAUCCAUACUUUGUCUCUUCUGUGACUCCGGUCACUUCUGACACCAUGUAGAAUGAGCCCAGGCGAGUUUCUUUACUAAUUCGGUUUUAUUAACUUUGCCACCCAUUCAGCAUACAACUCAUAACAUAACAUGCGGCUUCUCAUGCCGCGACCAAGCAUAGACAAGUUUUUGUUCUGCUGUAAAAGAUGUCGUAACACUGCUGUAACACACUUAACUUGCUCUACAUAUGUGCAUAUGUGACGCACGGUACUACCAAGCCAGGAAAGCUAACAGAAAGAAUAAUUCGGUAAUUCCGUUAAUUCAAAUUUGGCAGGUGAGGCAGAGUUGACCAGGGUAGCAGGCAAGCAGGUGGGAGUACUGAGGAAAAAUGAGAAAGUGGCAAUGGCGCCACCAGGCGGGCCUGGGGUAGCCGCGGCCACCCCUACAAAUCUGCUGGCCACCCCACUGGCAACCCCACUGACCAGUGACAAAUAUCGAUUGCCAGUUAAACUCACACCACGGCAAGGACAAGGCUCAGAUGGCGCACACUUAGCCAAUCAGAGGCGACAAAGGCAGUUCCUUCCCCCUUGAUUGGCUCAUUGUCUAACAGUGAUGUCAAUCACUCAUUCAUUUCAUUGGUUCUGAGUAGAUUGCAAACUCCGACAGCAUCGCCAUUGAUCCGCAUCAAUCAGCAGCACCGAUAUGAAGCGAGGACUAUGAGUAAGUCAUAAUUUCUUUUGUAAAAAGAAGGGGGAGAAGUAAUAUUCGUCGUGACGUGCUUUUUAAGUGCCAAAAGGUGCUGCUACAGCAACCUGUUAAAGCAGCACUGCAGAAGUUCAGGCAGCUGCAGCUGCAGAAGAGGGACGGUUAGCAGAGAUAAUGGGCACAGAGGCGAGGCAGGGGUCAGCAGCAGGUGUUCGACCUGCUCCUGGACCAACAGGUAAAAUUAUGCCAUUAAUAAUGAAAUUUAUUGCUAGGCUAGAUGCUAAAAUCAUCUGGAAAUGUAUGUUUAGAGUGUGUUUAUUAAGUUAUUAACCACGAUAUAAUCACUUUGAUUUUGUUUGAUUAGUUUGAAUAUAAAUGGCUAUAGGUUAUUAAAUAAUUACUAUAGAGAAGGGUCAAAUAUUAUUAUUAUUACUAUAAUGAUAAUUAUUUUAAUGUCAGCAUAACUGAUUUUGCCUCUUGUUUCAUCAUAGAUAUCGCCCAGUCAAGAGCAGAACAGCCAAAGCAGCCACAUCUGCAAAACUUCCUGCGAACCCAUCAAGGGGACAGAAGACGGUGUUUUUCAAAAGACUGGUACAGCAAACAUAAAUGGCUGGAAUAUUGUUAAAGUAAGGACUCUGCCUUCUUAUGCUUGUCGCCAUUUCAAGAAGAGGGUUUCAAAAAUUGGAAAAAGGCAACCUUCAAAGAUGUCGGAAAUGUCCAAUCUGCACUGAUUACAUAUAAUAAACUGGCCUAGGACACAAAGAGAGGACAUAUUACCCACUAGCCAAAGCUACUGAAUAGAAUGAUGAAUCAUAACAUGCUUUACCUAACAAUCAGUGAAAAAAAGAAGUACAAGAAAAUUCCUCAACGUUGUCUUCAACACAGGAGCAGAGGUAUCCUGAGAACAUAAGGUGGACUGAUCUUUAACGUGGAUCAGCUAACCCUCCUAUGUCACAUUUCCUACAUGAUGAUGGAUAAUGUGCUGCUUUUGUAACAGCCUGUGUACCUGAAAUGUUUGCAACCCACACACAGGCCCAUUAAAAUUCAGAGUAAAGCUUCACAUUGAACGUGAUAUGUCCGAUAGCCAGCUAUUUGGUGUUUUUACUGUCAAAGCAUCCCACAAGUCCUCAGCUCAUUACUCUGCACUCCAUCGUUAUGUUAAAAACAGUCAUCUCUGAGCACAAAUGUGAAAUGCUGAUUAAAUACAAGCAACACACAAUGCUUCUCUUGUACUUGGAAUACCUGAAAUCAUCCAAAUGUCUUCAACUGUCUCACAUCCUAAACUGAGCAAACAGAAACUAGUAUGAAGCAGCUCUGCAGGUCCCACUCAUCAGGCCUUUGGUUAGUGGUUCAUAGACCACCCAUACAAGAAAAUUACUGGAGGGCCAUGGCACUAAGAGAGAGCAUGCCAGAGAUAAGACUUGUCUGAGACAGAAGUAGCCGUCAACUGGCCAUUGGGCAUACAGAGACAAACGGCAGUGAGCUGCUGCACUGAGCGGCAGAUCAUCAAAAAAAAUCCAUCAAUUUUUUACCAGGCCUGUGUCAUUUAGGGUAUGCAGGAGAUCAUGCUACCAUACAUAAUAUGUAAUCUACCCUGACGACCUGACCCAAGCACCCGCCAUCCUCUGGACCUGUCUCCACGGACAAGUCUCGGGCUGAAUUUCUUUCUGACUGCAAACCUGGAAGGAAACCUCUCAAAAAAGUGUUAUUUACAGGCAGGCGAGGCUGACUUCCAGAGGAAGAGCAGAGAGACAGGGCACUGGACAAAAGCAACCUUUUUCUCAUCUGAAAAACAAAACAAAACAUUUAACUUUUACUCAUUUCUCCAGGAGAGUGGGCUGCACAAACAAAAUACUUAAAAUGAAUGCUAUUCUUUCAUUACUUCUAUCAAUCCAGCCAACUUUUUUUUAAAGGAAGCAAAAUUCUGCUACUCUAUAGAGGAAAUGUAUUCCAUUGCCAUCUACAACCAGCACUCAAGUUAUACAUAGACUGAAAGCAACUUUUGCUAGGUUUGGGAUCCCAGAUGAAGUGGUGAGUGCCAAUGGACUUCAAUUUUCUAGUGCGUAAAACUGGCGCAGCAGCUUGACUUAAGACACAUCAUGUCUAGCCCUCACUAUCCUCCACCAAAUGGUCACGCAGAAAGGGCAGUGCAGACCGCAAAGAGAGUCAUCCAGCAGAAAGACCCGUUGAUAGCCUUCCAUGUGCUACCAUGGGGGUCAGUCCAGCAGAACUGCUGAUGGGGAGGAAAGAUCAGAAUGACUCUCCUUAUGCUUGAGAAGAAUCUACGGCCCAAAUGGCCCAACAGAAAGAUUGUCAAACAAAAGGAUGCUAAUGAAAAGGCUAAACAAGCUUUCUAUUACAAUCGCCGGCAUUGUGACACACAUCUAUCAGUUCAAUAUCUGGGAGACACCGUCUGCACAGAGCUGGGCCAUGAAAAGGCUUGGAAGACACCAGCAGUCUUCUUAAAAGAGGCUCGAGGUAAGAUCUCGGAGUAACCUCCGAGGUCUUAUCUCAUCGACAUGCAGGGAGAAGCAGUGCUGCGGCGGAACAAACUCCAUCUCCGGGCAGAUGCAACUCCUCAACCUGCAACAACCGACCAGCCUGCCUCCACUGAGGGUGCAGGGAUGGACUCCCAAUCUGCAAGUGUCACCACUCCAGAGACCGUUUCCUCUAAAUCAAGUGAGGUGAUUAACCCUGUGCACACACAAACACCAAGACGGGCCCUCACAAGAUCAGGCCGUGUCAGUAAGCCAGUUGUUAGAGUGGACUUUUGGAGCACUGCGUUUCUAGGUGUUAAACAAUGGACUCUGGGGUGGAAAGGAAGCAUCUAUGGCUUUUUUUUUUGGGGGGGGGUGAAAAGAGAAACAAGACAAAACAAAUGACAUGAAGCAACAUGUAAACUUUAGUUAUGUUGAGCAAUUUGAGUUAAAAGUGACAUUUGCUAAUGUUUUGCAGAGAGAAAUUGCAUCCUGAGUCUAUUUUAUAGAGAAAUCUAAGCUAACAAGGGUUGUGAAACUAACCUGGACUGAUAAGACAUUUUAAGUUUGAUUAGAAGGCCAAAUGAAUGUGUGUUAUCACAGUUUGGAGAUACUGUUUGAUAUAUUACUGGGCCGUCAUCAUUCUGUUUAUAUGCACUUUGUAGUUAUUGGGAAUAAUUUGGAAAAAGGGAGAUGUCCCAUAUGCACAUAGCACGCACUUUACUUGCUUUGUGACAUGCUUUACGGCAGAACGAAAUCUCGCCUAUGCUUGGUAGCAGCAUGAGUUGUUAUAAGUUGUAUUCUGAAUGGGUGGCAAGUGAAUAAAGCCAAAUUAGUAAAGAAACUCGCCUCCGAUCAUUCUACACCGUGGGGGUAGUCAGUUUUGUAUUCUAAUUUUGUUUUAACAGUCUAGUCCUGGUGUUCCUCCGCUCCAUUAGGGAGCUCUGUUGUUAGCUGAGCCUGGUAAAGCACCUCUUGUUUCAAGAUAAAGUUUGUCAUUUCCAGCUGUUCUUUUGUGUGCUGUAAAUAAAAUUAUUCUUAGACACUCCAACGCCUGAAUGUUGAAUCUCUGUUGCAUUACGCCUGGGUCUCUGAUUCAUUUCGUAACGCAUAUGCUGUUAAUAUCGAACAUGUAAUGUAUAUUGGUUCAGACAAGACACUUUGUCAGAUUUUAACCAUUUCAGACUGACAUGCAUUUGUGUUUGGUGGUGACUCUGCUUGAGUGAUGCUCUGGAAUGAUCUGCACAAGCUUGACACAGACAGUCUCUGAGAUCACAAACCCCCUGGCAGAACCUGAUAUUGAAUAGGAAGCAAAUCUAUACAUGCACAUAUUUCUUAUAACAAUGAGGAGGCUGGGGAGAAGGGGGGAGCAGGUUCAUGACCAGUGAAGGCUGAAGCAGCAGUGAUGUGGCAGCCCAGAGCAGGCAGAAUGAAUAAACGCUGCCCCAGUUUUAAGGUGCCCUAAUAGGGAGGAGUGGACUGACUAUGAGCACGAUUGGACAGUGUAGAACCUUGUGACUGGCCUGUAUGAGCUAGCGUAAAACUGUAUUUAUCGGUCCUACUUUUACUGCCAAUAAUCCAUAUCUGCCCUGAAAAAAAAAACAUAUCAGUUGAUUGCUACCCUUUGAUUGGUGCAGAUAUGGACGUAUGUAAGGGAAACCUGCAGACAUUACUUAGGCCUGGAGAAGUCCUGCAAACAGUUUAUGAUUUAUAAGCAGCAGUCAGGCAAAGAUAAGGCGCAAAGUACAGGAGCUUUCUUUGUGGUACUGACCCCCAUGGUAGCAUAUGGAAGGCUAUCAACGGGUCUUUCUGCUGGAGGAUUCUCUUUGCGGUCUGCACUGCCCUUUCUGCAUGACCAUUUGGUGGAGGAUAGUGAGGGCUAGACAUGAUGUGUCUUAAGUCAAGCUGCUGCGCCAGUUUUCCGCACUAGAAAAUUGAAGUCCAUUGGCACUCACCACUUCAUCUGGGAUCCCAAACCUAGCAAAAGUUGCUUUCAGUCUAUGUAUAACUUGAGUGCUGGUUGUAGAUGGCACAUGUAUCUCCAGGAACCGUGAAUAGUAGUCUGAAAUCACAAGUAAGUUGUGUUUAUUGUGACCGGCUGAUGAGCCAUCAUUGCCAUACAGCUGUGGGGGAACUAAUGAUUGGUUUGGCCGUUGCAGCAGGGAGUUCAAAUUGAUUGACGGACGUAGCUCCAGUAUACUCCUGAACAUUUCUGGACAGGUACGCGCUGUGCAGCACGUGAAACACUGGUAAGCUUUAGAUUUUGCAUUAAUAUUGUUUCUUCUUUUAAGACCAGUCUUCUGUGGCUGCAGGGCCGAGUCCAUUGACGGUGUCUCUGCUUUUAUCGGCGGUGUCACGCGCGUGUAGGAUCGGACAGCCAAGGAGCUGUUGGGCCAGGUGGCUGGUGGCUGACUGAUUUCCCCCGGAGGUGGUGGUCCCUUCACUCCCUGUACAAUAGUGCACUUGGGUGUUCGUCAAUGAUUUUGUUUUGUUCACGUGUGGUGUGGUGCAUUAAGACCCUUCCCUUCUCCCCUCCAGUUCGUCAUCGCUGCCUGGUAAGCCCUCAGCCCUGUGCCUGGUGACUGUUUCGGUGGCACACUUAAUUAAGUCAGGGGGGGCCCUUGAGGAUUAGAUUAAUACUGUGCCACUUACUACCGUUAUGUCUUGGCAUCGCCAACAAGGUCGGUUUUAGAAAGAGUGUACAUUUUUAAAUAUUGUUAAUAAAUUUCAUUUUUCUGUACUUAAAGUGGAAUCGCGUCAGUCUCCGGUGCCCUUCGUACCUGUGUGACCUUUCUUGUGGUCUGUAUUAGAGUGGUGGUCCUCCCUAAAUAGAUCUCCUGGGGGUGAUACUCCCCCAGGUGGCGUUGUCGGACACGUGAUAGAUAGCAAACAUACAUCUAACCCUCGUAGCCUUGCCACACUACUGUAUUCAGGCCAUCCUGAUCUGAUGACUUUGGUGACAGCCUGUAGCUCGUUGUCAUCUGCUGUUGCCAUUCUGAUACUCUCCAGCUUAGUUGGGGAUGCUGGGAUGCCUUGUAACACCGUGGCUAGAUGCCAUGUCACCUUGUGUGUCAGUCUUUAGAUGUUUUUGAGGGCUGCGGGACAGGGCAUUUGCGACAACAAGGGUUUUGCCUGGUACAUAUUCUGCUACUGGACUGUACUUCAGGAGCCUCAUUAGUAGAUGUUGGCAUCUCACGAGGACAUUGUCUAGGCUUCGGUUGUUGUAAGUGGUACCAGUGGCUUGUGGUCAGUCCCCAGCCUGAACUGAUCUAAGCCGCACAGAUAUUUGUCGAACUUCCCAAAAGCCCAAACGCACGCCAGGUGCUUUUUUUUUUUUUUCUAUCUGAGCAUAGCGUGUUUCGGCUUCUGUGAGACAUCUGGAGAAGUAAGCUACCGGUUUCCACUUCUCUUCGUGGAGCUGGGGGAGUACACCCCCAAGACCAUAGCUGCUGGCAUGGACAGACACACUGAUGCAGCAACAUCAUAGAAGGCAAGAACUGGUGCUGGUGUUCACAUCUCUUUAAUGUUCUGAAAGACUGAUUGUUGUGAGUGGCUCCAGGUCCAGAUGUUCUUGCUCUUCAGAAGCAGUGGCUGACCUAUUGUGGAUAAAUUAGGGACACACCUUCCCAGGUAGUUCACCAUGCCCAGGAUUCUUUUUAGCUCCUGAACAUUUUCUAGUGGGGACAACAAGCCCGCUGACUCACCUUCUCAAGCCUUCUCGAGCCUAACAUUGUGUUGGUCCAUUGUGGUCUCAUAGACGAGCAUGUCAUCCAUGAAGACUUCAACACCUUCCAGCCCCUGCAGAGUUUCUAGCAUUUUCCGCUGGAAGAUUUCAGGUGCGCUGGAAAUCCCGAAGGGUAAUCUUUUAAAACAGUAUCUGCCAAAAGGUGUUAUGAAGGUUAUUAGCUUGCAGCUGUCUGGAUGCAGUGGGAUUUGCCAAAACCCGCUCGUGGCAUCAAGAGAGGAGAACACAGCUGCUCCACUCAGCUUGGCUGUUCUUUCAUCUGAGGUAGGUAAGAUAUACCAUUCUCUUUUGACUGACUCAUUUAGCCUUUUUAAGUCCACACAGAUUCUGGCUUUGCCGGUUUUGCUUCACCAUAGGCGCACACCAUUUGGUUGGCUGUGUCACCCGCUGAAUGGCACCGCUCUUCUCCAUCCUGUGUAGUUCCUGUUUUACCUUUUGUAACAUAGGGAAGGGCACACAGCGAGCAGUGUGCACAACAUAUGAUUGAGCAUCAUCUUUCAGCUGGAUUUUGGCUGGUUCAUUUUUUAGAGUGCCAUGCUCACCAAAAGUUUGCAGAAAUCCACUUGUGGCACAUGUCAUUUCAUCGACUCGCUGUACUAAGCUAAUUUUCACUGAUAAAGGUUGCCUGAGCAGGUUGCUGACACUCUGGCCACAGACUACAUAUGCUUCUAAUGGGUAUUCCUUUCCCUUGUAGCUAACUGUAGCAUUGAUACAGCCAAGAUACCAAAGCUCACCUGCUGGGCUGAAAUGUCAGCUGAUUUCAGAGUUCUUGGUGGAGUGAGUUUCUGAAAGGAGUCCUCGCUUAACAUGUUGACAUCAGCUCCCGUGUCUAUUUUAAAUUCCAUCUGGAUGGAAUCCACCUUUAGUUGCACAGUAUACUGUUCUUUCUCCUCUGCACUGCACACUGAACCUAAAUAAAAAAUUUCCAGUCA